GUGGGUUUGAGUUGGCUUCCUCAGCAGUCUUGGGUUCGAGGAAAAAGCUAAACAAACCCCCAACCCAAAGCACUCAGGGUCCCCUCGCUGGCCUGGCCCUGAGCGUAAGGCCAGGCACACCCACUCUGUCUGACCAGAUACUGGAAAGGCCAGCUCAGGGAAGGAGGAUUCGAAGGGCCCUGGGCUUUGUUUUUGGUUUUCCUGGCCCCGUCUAGGCACUUAGAAGUGUUGGUGGACUUCUUGGUCGGGAGACGGAACCGGCAUUGAUGAGGGGAAGUUGUAAAGGGAUGGACCGAAGUUAGAUAGUAAGAAAAUUCCUUCCUCCUUCGAGCAGGCCUGGAGUAUGGGCCGCCAUGAUGGGGACAGCCUCCUCCAUUGGAGAUUUCCAAAGGGCGUCUGGAAGACUCCUUGCAGGGUACAGUGAUGGAGGCUGGAAUCGAUCGGAAUGUGCUGGAGUCGCCGGUAACUGAGAUCCCUCUGAACUCUAGAACGCCGUGUGUGAAACUUAGCAACAACUGGUUCCCUUCAAAAGUGGAAUUGUUUGCCCCAGGAAGGGAAGGGUUCCUUGUCCCUGUCCUUGAGGGAAGGCUCUCUGGCCACUCGUCCUGGUGUUGAGAAGAGGGGGCUGUCCAGCUCUGUGGCCCGGGAGUUCCCUUCCAAGGCUGAGAUUCUAUGACAAGCCGCAUGGGGCUGGGGAUCGAAAAGCAUUUCCGCAAGAAUAGAUCCAUCAAGACAUACCUGUCCGCCGUGGAUGUGUGAAGUAGAUGCUAAAGAGCUGCCUAUGUCCCGUGCUCCCCUCAACACUAAUGCCUCGUAUCCAAGACUCGAAUUCCCACCUCCCAGUGCUUGCAUGGCCUGUCCUUUGUCCCUUCCAGUUUUCCCAAGUGGGAGAGCCAUAGAAUGAGGUCUGCGCCUUCCUGGAGAAGACUUGAAAUGCCGUCUCUCCUGGCCCAGGAACCCUCCAGCUUCUUCGUGCUUGGCGACACCCUCUCCUUUGGCUGUGGGCAUCCCUGCUGGCAGCUGGUCUCAGGAUGGAGAGCCUCCUCUGAGAAGCCAUGCUGUGGAUUUUGCAGGAGCCUCUGGGACCAUCCCAUCCGGACCCUCCGUCGGGGUAAGGAGGAUCACUGUGACGCCACCCUCGGAGCCUCCCUCCUCGGCACUUUGUGCCCUCACAGACCACAAAGACCUGAAAGGGACCCAUGGAGACCACUCGCUCGAUCCUGACAUUUUACAGAAGAAACUGAGCCCCGGAGGGAGACCAGGGACUCUCUCCAAGUCCAAUGGCUUCUGAGUGGCAGCCGUGUUCCAUGUGUGAUCUUUGAAGCAGGGUUUAGACCUUUA